UGGCAGGAACUCCAAUGUCUAUGCAACU
rnacentral:piRNA from 1 species